rnacentral:tRNA from 1 species
AUUCGCGUAGUUUAGAGAAAACGCACCAUUUUCAGUGGUGAAACAAAUAAGUAUUUCACGAAUA